AUGUUUCGUCCGGCGUUCGGAGUCGCGGCGAGGACCCUGCUGCGGCGGUUCUGCGGCCAGGCCACGGCGGCUGGGUCGCUGUCGAGGCCGGCCGGGGCUAGCAUGCUGAGACACCUGCACUCUCAGCAGGCGAAUGCUGCAGUUGCUACUGCUGGCCACCGCUAUGGCCUUUUUCGCAGGUACCUCAAACCACAUGCCAUGGCCAUGGCCGGAUUGUCUACAGCCGGUGUUGGACUUUGGUAUACGAACAAGAGACUCCCCCGGUUAGACAUUGGACUUUGGUACGAUAAGAUUAUGAACAGGAGCCUCAUCCUGUCAGAGAUUGGACUUUGGUAUGAUAAGAUUAUGAAAAGGGAUCUACCUCCGUCAGAGAUUGAUUGGGAUGUCCCUUCCGGUGCCGGUGUCUCUGAAGCUGAUUGGGUUAAAACUUGUGUCGUCUCUUCGGCUGACUGGGUCGCCGAGGUUGAUUGGGUUGAAGCUGGUGCCGUCUCUCCGGUUGUGAGGAAUCAACGUCAUUGUGGCUGCUGUUGGGCGAUGGCUGCUGCAGCCUCAGUCGAGGCUAUGCAUUACUUGAAGACCUCCAAGUCAAUCUCGCUAUCUGUUCAAGAGCUCAUCGACUGUGACACAAAGAGCAAAGGGUGUGACGGCGGCCUCAUACAGAAUGCUUUAAGGUAUGUACAAGAAAAUGGGCUCUCAAGUGAACCCCACUACCCAUACAAGGGUGAGAGGAGUAUAUCGGGUUGCAAGCAGAACAAAAUAGCAGCAACAUCAAGGAUAUCUGGGUUUCAAUUCGUCGACCCAACCGAGGAUGCUCUAGAGAAAGCGGUAGCUAGGCAGCCUGUGGUUGUCAGUUUGCACUGUUCCGAUGGCCUGAUGAGGUACUACAAAGGAGGCAUCGUGGAUUAUGAACCUGUCAGCGGCAUGACCAACGAGGAACACUAUGUCCUGAUUGUUGGUUAUGGCACCGAUUCCAAUGGCGUCAAAUACUGGCGCUUCAAGAACUCGUGGGGACCAAUCUGGGGCGAAGGGGGGUUUGGGAGGAUCCGCAGGCAUGUUAAAGACGAACGAGGAGCGUUGGGUAUUUUCCUGAAACAAGGAGUAUAUCCGGUGCUUAAGGACUGA
rnacentral:rRNA from 1 species